AAUCAACGCUGGCGGCGUGCCUAACACAUGCAAGUCGAGCGAGAAAGUGGGGGCAACUCCAUGAGUACAGCGGCGACCGGGUGAGUAACACGUGACUAACCUACCCUUGAGUGGGGAAUAACUCCGGGAAACCGGAGCUAAUACCGCAUAACACCGCAAGGUCAAAGAAGCAAUUCGCUUAAGGAGGGGGUCGCGGUUGAUUAGCUAGUUGGUGGGGUAAUGGCCCACCAAGGCGAUGAU
rnacentral:rRNA from 1 species